UUUUUUGAGAGUUUGAUCCUAGCUCAGGAUGAACGCUGGCGGCGUGGAUAAGGCAUGCAAGUCGUACGGGCGCGUGGGAGAGCUUGCUCUCUCUCGCGCUAGUGGCAAACGAGUUAGUAACACGUGGGCAAUCUGCCCCAUUCACGGAGAUAAUCCGCCGAAAGGCGGACUAAUAUCCGAUAGUCCCCAUUCUUCAUAAGAAGGAUGGGGUAAAGGCGCAAGCCGGAAUGGGAGGAGCCCGCGGCCUAUCAGCUUGUUGGUAGGGUAACGGCCUACCAAGGCAAUGACGGGUAGGGGGCGUGAGAGCGCGUUCCCCAACGAGGGCACUGAGACACGGGCCCUACUCCUACGGGAGGCCGCAGUCGAGAAUAUUGGGCAAUGGGCGAAAGCCUGACCCAGCGACGCCGCGUGCGGGAUGAAGGCCUUCGGGUCGUAAACCGCUUUUAUCGGGGAAGAAGGCGCAUCUCACUUUCGUUCGAUGCGAAAUCAAAAUUCAAAAUGCAAAUCUCAAAAUGUUUGUGUCUGCCUGCGGCAGAAUAUAUUGCGCCAAGGGCGCGCACCUUCAUUUUGAUUUUUGAUAUUUGAUUUUUGCAUUUUAGGCACCGAGCAAGAGUGAGGUGCGUCUGACGGUACCCGAUGAAUAAGGGGGUGCUAACUCUGUGCCAGCAGCAGCGGUAAUACAGAGCCCCCGAGCGUUAUCCGGAUUUAUUGGGCGUAAAGUGUCCGUAGCCGGUUUUGCAAGUCAUCGGUUAAAUGCCAAGGGCUCAACCUUUGGAGUGCCGGUGAAACUGCUAAACUAGAGGGUGCCAGGGGUUGAUGGAAUUCUCGGUGGAGGGGUGAAAUCCGUUGAUAUCGAGAAGAACACCAAAAGCGAAGGCAUUCAACUGGGGCAACCCUGACGGUGAGGGACGAAAGCGUGGGGAGAAAAGAGGAUUAGAUACCCUCGUAUUCCACGCUGUAAACGAUGGAUACUAGCUAUGUGAAGUGUCGACCCUUUACGUGGCGAAGCUAACGCAUUAAGUAUC
rnacentral:rRNA from 1 species